rnacentral:rRNA from 1 species
AUUGAACGCUGGCGGCAGGCCUAACACAUGCAAGUCGAGCGAGCGGCGGACGGGUGAGUAAUGUAUGGGGACUGCCCGAUAGAGGGGGAUCAAUACUGGAAACGGUGGCUAAUACCGCAUACUAUCGGAUAACCCAUAUGGGAUUAGCUAGUAGGUGGGGUAAAGGCUCACCUAGGCGACGAUCUCUAGCUGGUCUGAGCGGAUGAUCAGCAAAACGGGGACUGAGACAGGGCCCGGACUCCUACGGAGGAAGAAGUGGGGAAUAUUGGACAAGGGGCGAAAGCCGGAUGAAGCAAUGCCGCGGUUAGGAAGAAGGCCUUAGGUUUGUAAAGUACUUUAAGCGGGGAGGCGUUACCCGCAGAAGAAGCACCGGCUAACUCCGUGCCAGCAGCCGCGGUAAUUC